AUUGAACGCUGGCGGCAGGCCUAACACAUGCAAGUCGAACGAGUGGCGGACGUGUUAGUAAUGUCUGGGCCACUGCCUGAUGGAGGGGGAUCGCUACUGGACACGGUAGCUACUACCGCAUAGCUUCGGAUGUGUCCAGAUGGGAUUAGCGAGUUGGUGGGGUAAAGGAUCACCAAGGCGACGAUCCGUAGCUGGUCUGAGAGGAUGAUCAGCCACACUGGAACUGAGACACGGUCCAGACUCCUACGGGAGGCAGCAGUGGGGAAUAUUGCACAAUGGGCGCAAGCCUGAUACAGCCAUGCCGCGUGUAUGAAGAAGGCCUUCGGGUUGUAAAGUACUUUCAGCGGGGAGGCGUUACCCGCAGAAGAAGCACCGGCUAACUCCGUGCCAGCAGCCGCGGUAAUUC
rnacentral:rRNA from 1 species